rnacentral:rRNA from 1 species
UAAGACGGAGGGGGCUAGCGUUGUUCGGAAUUACUGGGCGUAAAGAGCGCGUAGGCGGUUUGGUAAGUUGGGAGUGAAAGCCCGGGGCUUAACCUCGGAAUUGCUUCCAAAACUGCCAAUCUAGAGUAUAGUAGGGGAUGAUGGAAUUCCUGGUGUAGAGGUGAAAUUCUUAGAUAUCAGGAGGAACACCGGUGGCGAAGGCGAUCAUCUGGGCUAUAACUGACGCUGAGGCGCGAAAGCGUGGGGAGCAAACAGGAUUAGAUACCCUGGUAGUCCACGCCGUAAACGAUGAGUGCUAGAUAUCGGGAGAUUUUCUUUCGGUUUCGCAGCUAACGCAUUAAGCACUCCGCCUGGGGAGUACGGCCGCAAGGUUA